rnacentral:rRNA from 1 species
UUAUGGGAGGCAGCAGCGAGGAAUUUUCCGCAAUGGGCGCAAGCCUGAGGGAGCAACGCCGCGUGUGGGAUGACGCUUUUCGGAGUGUAAACCACUGUUUGUGGGGACGAAGCACUGACGGUACCCACGGAGGAAGGCCCGGCUAACUACGUGCCAGCAGCCGCGGUAAUACGUAGGGGUCGAGCGUUGUCCGGAGUUACUGGGCGUAAAGCGCAUGCAGGCGGCUCAUUACGCAUGGCGUGAAAGCCCCCGGCUCAACCGGGGAGGGUCGUCGUGAACGGGUGAGCUUGAGGGUAUCAGGGGCUGGUGGAAUUCCCGGUGUAGUGGUGAAAUGCGUAGAGAUCGGGAGGAACACCUGUGGCGAAGGCGGCCAGCUGGGAUACACCUGACGCUGAGAUGCGAAGGCGUGGGGAGCGAACGGGAUUAGAUACCCCGGUAGUCCACGCAGUAAACGAUGCAGACUAGGCGUGGGAGGACUUGACCCCUUCCGUGCCGGAGCUAACGCGAUAAGUCUGCCGCCUG